CGAACGAGGGAACCCCAUCAACUUGGAUUUUGUAGUAGUUGCGAAUGAACACAAAUUUGAUCACUUUGGCAAUCUGUACACAUUGCUGUGUAACAAUUUGUAUACGUUGGCACAGUGCUAUCAAAGCUGCAUGCAAGUGUUUUUUGAAAGGAUACAACAUGGGAUGUGAUAUUCAUGUGUGUGUGCCUGCUUUGUCCACAGCCUGUGCUGUAUGAAUCACAUUUCUUGCAACUGAAAUGCUAAUGGCAUGGUAAAGUUCAUGUGACAUGACACAAGCUUGAGAUUCAUGAUGUGCAAGUACCAUGAGGGAAAUGUGAAAAGGACUUUGGAAAGAGAAUUAAAUAAAGCCUGCAUUUGCUGACAAUGAAAGCAAGUGUGGAUGUUCAUGUAAUUGUUACUGCAUCAAUCAAUGUUCAUCUUGGUUACUGCAUGCUUUAUAUUACAGCUCAGAACAUGAAGUGUGUGUAACAGCUCUGCUUUGAUUUUUCCCACAUGGGAUCAGUUGAAACAUUGUGAGAGCACUCUUCAGUUUCCUUAUGUACCCACCAGCUUUGUCCACUCGCGUGUUGGCACACAUGUAAUGAUGAUGUGUUUAUGCAAGAUACUUCUGUGCUCAACAACAUGUGUUCAGCUCAAUCA
rnacentral:rRNA from 1 species